GACGAACGCUGGCGGCGUGCUUAACACAUGCAAGUCGAACGGAAAGGCCCUGCUUUUGUGGGGUGCUCGAGUGGCGAACGGGUGAGUAACACGUGGGUAACCUGCCCUUGACUUUGGGAUAACUUCAGGAAACUGGGGCUAAUACCGGAUAGGAGCUCCUGCUGCAUGGUGGGGGUUGGAAAGUUUCGGCGGUUGGGGAUGGACUCGCGGCUUAUCAGCUUGUUGGUGGGGUAGUGGCUUACCAAGGCUUUGACGGGUAGCCGGCCUGAGAGGGUGACCGGCCACAUUGGGACUGAGAUACGGCCCAGACUCCUACGGGAGGCAGCAGUGGGGAAUAUUGCACAAUGGGUGGAAGCCUGAUGCAGCAACGCCGCGUGCGGGAUGACGGCCUUCGGGUUGUAAACCGCUUUCGCCUGUGACGAAGCGUGAGUGACGGUAAUGGGUAAAGAAGCACCGGCUAACUACGUG
rnacentral:rRNA from 1 species